rnacentral:misc_RNA from 1 species
UUCGAAAAGCAAUAAAUACAUUUUUAAAUGGUAAUGUUGUGUCACUUCGUUAAUUCCCGAAAUUUUCGGUGCCGCCUUCGUAUGGGCACUCAGGAUUGAAGGCAUUUAUCAGAGAGAAUCAAACAACACAGCUUUUCAAUUGGCCAAUCGGCAGCAUGUAUGAACUUUGGAAAAAAACAUGCACUAUCGAAAAGGACCUUGAAAAUGAAAUUCGAACGGAAGCGUCAUGUUGGAAAAUGGUUCUUCAAAGGUUAUUCGAUGUCAUACUUACCCUUGCAAAGAGUUUUUGGAUAUGCCCAAAGAUAGUGAUUUUUCUUUAGUCUGUUCCCUUUAGUGAAAGGUAGUGACUAAAUCGUGCUUUUUAUGUUUUUAGGAUCUACAAGUUAUCUGGGUCCAAACUGGAAAACCUUCUACUAGAACAAAUUAGAGCGUCCCCGUGCUUCGCCAUCAUUAUGGAUACGACACAGGACAUAUCGAAGGUAUAUCUAUCAGCUAAGCAUUGUUGUGAGGUAUGUAAUGAUAACGAAAUCGGAAAAUGGACAUCUAGUUGAUACAGAAGUAAAAGAAGUGUUUCUAGAAUUUUAUGCAGCUAUCAGACAUAGUACAGCAGGUUUAGUAAGCCAGGUGACUACAUUAUUUAUCGACAAAAAUAUUGAUUUAAAAAAAUAUGUGGGUCAAGGUUAUCAUGGAGCAUAGUGUUAUGAGCAAUGUGUAUAAUGGUGACGCGGAGUAUGUAAAUAUGCGGUGAUAAAUGACGCCGUCAGCUCUUGUGUGGAAAUACAAAUUUUUUCCAACUUUGCAAGAUUUGUAUAAUUUUGUAUAAUUUUUCGGACAUAGCAUCAAGCGUUGAGAUCCACUGUCAAAAAGUCUUUUUGUUUGGGUGAUUUCCAGGAUAGAUUUCGGUUUUUUAAGAUUAAAGGAAGAAAAAUACAAUUCGUCUCAUCGCUAAGGUAAGUAAAGUCUGUGACUAGUUUUCAUUGCCACGGCGCCUCCCGCUAUCACAAAUACCAGUGGUAACACCGACGCUGAAUUAUUAUGGCACAGGGAAGGCAGAUAACGCCGCCGCGGACGCCGCCGAAUCAUUGGUCGUAAGCCGCGUAGCCGUGCGUUUGCCGCCAUUUUGGCCAGAGGACCUCGAAGUUUGGUUUGUACAAGCGGAGGUGCAAUUUCAAAUUUCUUGUAUACGGGAGAAUACUACAAAGUUCUACCAUAUUAAUUCGUAGCUUGAACUGAAGUACAUACGUGAAAUCAAGGACAUAAUAAAAAAUCCACAGGCUACCGCUAGAAAGGUGUGAUGACGUGCUAAACAAACAUAUCUUGCAGAGUACCUAAAUUACAGCAGACCGUUGGGGGCAGAUCGAGGUGAGUGCCACUUGCUUAACUGGCUUGUUUUGAAUGUGCUAUAUUGUAAAAAGCAAAAUGGUUUUUUCCCUUAUAUGCUGAUCGUACAAACAUUACGAUUGAUCUUUUAUAAAAAUAAAUGUUAUAGCACGGUAUCAUUUCUCUUUUAUUCCCAUCACUAGUAGAGACACAAAUCGAACUCUCGAACCGAACUCUUUGCGCUAAGUAUGAAAAUAUAAAAAAGAGGGCCAAGACUGUAGUAUAUUUAUAAUGACGUAAGUCAUGCAUUCAAUAUAACUACCUGUAAGUGGGGGUGUAUUUAAAAUAAACCAGUAUUGAACCAACUUGCGUGUGUUUCACUACAAAGACCAAGUAUAGUACUUUUCGGAGAAGUUUGUACGGAACAGGGGUGGAAUUAAUGUCACUCAAGAAAAGGAAGUGGUAAUGGAGUUAUCUGGGACCAGUGUGAUGGGAUUACCAUCUCACAAUCACUGUGAUGAGGUAUGUAUGAGUAGCUUCUAAUUACAUUAAUAUCUCAAAUUGCCUCAUGAUCAAAUGUCCUCUACCAACCUAUACUUUGCCAAAAGUCACCAAUAAUGAGAGUGACCAGUAAUCUAUCCACCAACUACUUUUUUACUUGAUUUGUAUAUUACAGAUUUUUAAAAUCUAUAGAAUAUUAGAGAACCUGAAAUUGUUUUGCUUGUUUAACACUAUAUUUAUCUAAAGUAAGUAGGUAUUACCUAUUUGAUGUAAGUACCUACCUAAUAAAAAUUCGUGUAGGGGCCUCAACUUAAAUAAGAUCUUUAUGGAAAAUGCAGUGGACUGUAAAACUACCUAUUACUUAACAGAGAAACGAGAGUAAUGGGCAGCUGGCGCUGUAAGCUAUGCAAAAAAUAUGUGUGACGAACUCGAAAUUUCCUUAGAAUCUCGGACAAGAAGGCAUAUUUUUUAAGACGGAAUUAGGGAUGCUAACUUGUCUUGUGAAAAUGAGUUGAGACGAAAGCUGUUUAGAAAUUCAUGAGCGGUUUCAGCAGCUACAGAAUUUAACGGAUAAGUUUACUUAUCUAACGCCGGCUAUAUUUGUAGGGACCACAAAUGUCCCCAUAGCAACUAACAAUUAUAUGUAUGUGUUAGCGGUAAUUAUAUUGCAAUGAUGCUACGCCAGUCUCGAGAUCGUCAGGCUGUCGAUAGCACGUUAGGUUGUAAUCCCAAUAUACGUUAGUCACUUAACUGAUCACGUGUCUUAUUAAUCCUUGCCCUAUAUAGACUCAACAUAUUAUUAGAUCCAGACGACACUAAAUGUAAUCUAGACUACGCAUCUGUCGAAAUUGACGAGCAGGAUUUCAAGCUGGAACGACUUUGACUGCGGACUUUUAUCGCUGUUACAUGCAACGAAAAUAAAUAAAUUAAUGGAGACUCACUUAAAUUAUUUUAAUUUAUCUUAAACUCCAAGCUAGAAGAUACUCUAACCAAUAUUUAAAAAAUGCUACGAAUAUUUUUCACAGUUGCCAUAAGCAAUGCCAGCUGUGAGAGAAGUUUUUCAAAAUUGAAGUUAAUUAAAAGUUAUUUAAGAUCAACAAUGAGUACUUUAAGACUUACUAAUUUGGCUAUCUUGUCUAUUGAGGAAGAGGUGUGCGAUGCUAUAGACAUUGAUGGUGCAAUAAAAGACUUUAAUCUUAAAAAAAGUAGACGUAUAAAUUUUCAAUUAAAGACUUUGGUUUUUAUGCUUAGAAUACUUAUAUUAUUUUUCAAUAAAUAUUACGUAAUAAUUAUAGUUCUUGUUUUUAUUAAAAAUUGAUUUGCGUUUUAUAUUCAAUUCACUAAUUAUUUAAUCUUGUCGAUCGUCCAAUUGUACCUAAUCCUAAGUGAUAGGUAUUGUACCUGUUAUAACAAUGUAUCUAAUGGCAGCGACAUAUGUUACGAUAUACUAGCGCUUUUUUAGGUUUGCGCAAAUAAAUCGUUAUGCCCGAGUGACCACAGAUGGCUCAAGUGGCAGCCACAGACGUUACGAUAUAUUUGCGCAAACCUAAAUUAACGUGUGUGGCUGCCAUAAGUGGUUGAAGUAUAAUAAAAUAUUUUUUGUAUUAAUAAACGCGAUUGUAACAUUUAGAUAAACUUUUUUAUUUAAAAUCUUACCUGUAGAUAGAAUGCAAAAUAAUGAUGACUGCUCUUGUCAAAAAAUAAUCUAGAAUGAAUGUAUAGUAUACAUCAAGGUGAAAUACCUAAAUAAAAGGGCGGCAAAAUUAUCUUCCGCCCCAGACGGCUGACACCCACGCUUAGAUAUGGGAUUUUACCCGGAAAAAACCCAAGUGUGGGAAAAAACCCGGGGAAAAUUCCCGAAUGGGAUAAUAUUCGGGUUUUUUCAUAUUUAGCACAUGUAACAUCUAGGUAAUAUGUAUGUCAGAGGAAGUAAUGAGUCGAUAUGAUUCUUGAUUACAUGCAUAACGCUCAUUAUUAUUAUUUUUACGUUGUAAUUACUUUCAUAAUUCCUAAUUUUAUUUUAUUUCGUUUGUUACGUUUUUCUAUAGCUUUAAAACCUUUUAUAAAAAGAAAUUGUAAUAAAAGGGUAUCGAAACUGUAACUUCACGUAGGCAACGACCAAUCAGAGCAGAGCAUUUGUCUCGAGCGUGGUCGAGGCACCAUCUUUACUUUGAGAAGGCUUGUAUUGUCGGUUGACACAUUUUUGGAGCAUAAAAACGUAUCAAGUUGGAUCGUUGGAGAUAGUUAAAGUGAGAUUGGUGCACCGAACUCGCUGCUCGGUCUAAAGUGUUAUAUUCUCGUAUAAUAUUACUGUGAAGUAAUCAAGUAUUGUUUAAAUUAAACUAGUGAUAAAAACGUAUUCAUUGUGUUUUGUGCUCGCAUUUCAUCCCAAUGAAGCCCACUAAGCCCACAGCCACUAAUGACGAUGCCAUCAGGAAGAGCUUUCCCCGACACGUAUAUCAAAUAGUCAUAAUGAGGUGUAUAUAUCGAAAUGGUUCGCUUAUGAGCACUUUUACUUCUCGGCUGACAAGGUCUCUCCCCGUGAUACUCAAAACUCAAUGUCUAUCGACACAUCGUCGCCUUCUGCAGCAAGAGACACAACAAAUUCAGAACCAUCGCCUUCUGUAAGUAUCUGGAGUCAGUAAGCUUUGGGCUAAAGGCGGAAACAUAUUUACGUGUCGUGUCGUGGCGUGCUCUGGAGUUAUUUCUUUCAUUUCUGAACAUAACCUCGCAGUGUUUAAACGUACAUAAUGUUUUCUUCUGAUUCGGAUAGUGAUUAGUGCUAAUUAUAUUUUAUAUUUAAUAUCUAUGUUGCCAUGUUAUUUAUCCAUUUGAAACGAAGUGUGUAGCCAAGUGUGACCGAAUUGCUUUUGCGUCAUUUGCAGACCUUCGAGGAAUUGCACGUAAAGGCACAAAAGAAGUCGAAUCUAGUUCAUUCCUCCACGACCCUUGUACGAAAUUUCCAUCGAUUUCAGAGUCCAAACUUCCUGGUGGUGUAUAAAUAUUUGCCCUUGUUUUUCGUAAAAAGUUAUGCAAAUAAAUAGUAGCCAGUACCACUUUCGUAGCAAUUUCUGGUUCCAAUAAUUUUGGUUUUCUUAACACUCUAAAUACAGAACGCAUGAUGCCAAAAGCAUUUUCUACUACUACCCUUUGUGCUCUAGAUAGACGGUAAUUGAAUAUUCUUUCCGGAGAACCAUUGUCUGGGUUCCUUCAAACGGUUUCAUAGUAUAAUUGUUUAAAGCAAAUGCUUUGUCAGCUAAUAUAAAUAACAUAGGGCACUUUAAUCAAAUAUGGUGUCUGUAAUAUACAGGAUGCUGGUAACUUUAAUUCAUUAUUUUCCAAUGAUUUGUACAAUGCACUGUUUUUAAAAACUCCACCAUCGGAUAUGCGUCCUUGACAUCCAACGUCUACAUACAUAAAAUUAUAAUUAGCAUCCACCAAGCCAAGCAAUACGAUGCUGGAUUUUUUUUUAUAAUUUAUGUAUUCUCCGUGACUAUUAAUUGGUGAUUGAAGAACAAUAUGUUUGCCAUCGAGGGCCCCCACACAAUGAGGAAAAUGCCACUGGUUUUCAAAAUCUUGUGCUACUUUUAACCAUUCUUCUUCUGAUGAUGGUAUCUGAAAAUUAUGUCACAUAUUUUACUAUUAGGCUAUCGUACUGCUAAAACAUUAUUUGAUGAUUUUAUUCAUUU